UACGUAGGGAGCAAGCGUUGUCCGGAAUCACUGGGCGUAAAGCGCACGUAGGCGGACUCUUAAGUCGGUGGUGAAAUCCUGGAGCUCAACUCCAGAACUGCCUUCGAUACUGAGAGUCUCGAGUCCGGGAGAGGUGAGUGGAACUGCGAGUGUAGAGGUGAAAUUCGUAGAUAUUCGCAAGAACACCAGUGGCGAAGGCGGCUCACUGGCCUGGUACUGACGCUGAGGUGCGAAAGCGUGGGGAGCAAACAGG
rnacentral:rRNA from 1 species